UACGUAGGGUGCAAGCGUUGUCCGGAAUUAUUGGGCGUAAAGAGCUCGUAGGCGGUUUGUCGCGUCUGCUGUGAAAACUCGGGGCUUAACUCCGGGCCUGCAGUGGGUACGGGCAGACUAGAGUGCGGUAGGGGAGACUGGAAUUCCAGGUGUAGCGGUGAAAUGCGUAGAUAUCUGGAGGAAUACCGGUGGCGAAGGCGGCAUCCUGGACCGGGAUUGACACUGAGGAGCGAAAGCUAGGGGAGCAAACGGG
rnacentral:rRNA from 1 species